GGAAACUUGUGCUAAUACCGCAUAACGUAUACUGACCGCAUGAUUGGUAUAACCAAAGUAUUUAUUGUAACAAAGAGUGGGCUCGCGUCUGAUUAGAUAGUUGGUGAGGUAACGGCUCACCAAGUCGACGAUCAGUAGCCGGACUGAGAGGUUGAACGGCCACAUUGGAACUGAGACACGGCCCAGACUCCGUACGGGGAGGCAGCAGUGGGGGAUAUUGCACAAUGGAGGAAACUCUGAUGCAGCAACGCCGCGUGAGGGAAGAAGGUUUUCGGAUUGUAAACCUCUGUUUUAGUGAAGAAACAAAUGACGGUAGCUAAAGAGGAAGCCACGGCUAACUACGUG
rnacentral:rRNA from 1 species